UAUUUUGGUCUCAAAUGGUAUAGUUGAACUCAUGACUCGAGAUAUCCACUGAGGAGUUUUAUUGCUGAAUUGAAGCAGAAGAAUUAUUUUUGUCAAAUCCUAAAUUGAUGAAAAAUUUGAACUUUAUACCUAUGUUGGCGUCUGGCCUUAGGUGCUCCACGUAGACUACAGAGUUUCUCCAAUCACGGCUUAAGAGAUAUAAGUUUUGUGCCUAUAUCCUGUUGAUUUUUGGGGUGUGACAGAAAGAAAGUUGAGUUCAAGGUAUAUCGUCCUGUUUGAAAUCAUAGAGAGAGUUGGUAAUGUUGCUUAUCGUUUGACAUUACCAGAUAAAUUAUCAGGCAUUUAUCCAGUA